CUUAAUCUUUGAACCUGGCUGGAGUUACAUCCCUUGAGCAGUGUUGAUGGGGAAUGUACUUACUUCUGUGUAUGCUUGUCUUAGUGAUUGUUGAACAAAGCACUGUUUGGCCAAUGAAGCAGCAAGUUAGGCGGGACUAGGAGUCGAGGAGGAUUCUGGGAAAUGUAGUAAAAGAUCCAGGCAGGAAGUGACAUAGCAGGCAGACUCAGUAUAUAAGCAAGGGCAAGAAGGAAGUCGCCCUUUUUGCUCUUCCUCCUGCUCUCUGCUCUGCAGUCGCCAUGCGACCUCCAGGAAGACAGGACACAUUCUGCCUGAGUGCUCCAAAGAUAAGUCUUAUGAUUAUGGUUGAUAAUUGAGACUGAGCUAGCACACGAGAAAUCCUAGUCAUUGGCCAAGCAGCAUUUGUACCUAAUAUAAGUCUCUGUGUGUUACUUGGGACCUUAACGUAGCAGCGGGCAGAACUCGGGUGGCCUGGCGGAAAGCACCCACGUGGCAGCAGGGCUUGGGUGGCUUCUUGGCAGAAAGACUUAUUGUUUCACAGUGUCACUUCAAAAGCCACAGAACCAUAUAUGCAGAUCUCACUGAGGUCCUUAGUUAGUACUUCUCUGUCAUCCCUGAACACCUCACACGGCAGUACCAGUGGUUAAAUGCAAGACUUGUAGGCAGGCAAGUGCUCUACCUCUGGGCAAACCCACCGGCCUCUUUACACUUAGAUUUGGAGGACACCGGACAUCUCAGUCAUGUUCCGUGAUGGCUACAAAUUACUGUCAACUUGACUUCAUUCAGAGACAGUCAGACCCCAGGCUCUGGCCUUGUGAGUGGAUUAAUCCACUGAUGGAUUUAAACUAUGAUACCAAAUCCGGGGGCGGGGCGGGGGAGGCAGGUGGUGGGGCCUAGGAGACAGAGACAGAAGUGCAUGCUGGGGAAUGUGGCUUUGGGGGCCAACUCUCACCCUGGCUUCUUCCUGCAUUCUUUCCCUUGGCUUCUUGUCCACCAUGAAGAGCAGGCUUCCUGUCCUCUGCCAAAGUCUCCAGUGGCCAUGAUUUUAUACCCAAGUACGUGGGGGUGAAAGGACUGUGGAAAAGCCCUCUGAAACUGUAAGUCAAGGAACAGAGAGUCCGGGGUCCCAAUGGCACAUCACCAGGUUCUGAAUGGAGCACCACCAGGAGGACUCCUUUGGGCUCUGCUCUCGUGUGUUAUUAGCUCCAUUUUCAGGAAGACCAACUUGCUGUGGCAGCAACAGUCACAGUCGUUUGCAAAAUCACUCUCCAGCUAGCACCUCCUCGGUUCAGGUUGGUGACAUGGAAACCUGCGGCUACUAGAACCAUCCACCCCAAAAGUCCAACCCCACCCAGCCCGGCAGCUGCUUGAUCCUUCACACCUCUCAUCGCAGCUCUGACGUGACACUGUGGAGAAGGAGUUGCACCCAUUUUGCUGCUAAAUAUGUUGAGGCUGAGCCGAACUAAUGAUACCAUUUUUCUGCUUCAAAAAGAGUUUUAAUUUGGGCUGGAGAGAUGGCUCAGAGGUUAAGAGCACCGACUGCUCUUCCAGAGGUCCUGAGUUCAAUUCCCAGCAACCACACGGUGGCUCACAACCAUCCGUAAUGAGAUCUGGCGCCCUCUUCUGGUGUGCAGAUAUACAUGGAAGCAGAAUGUUGUAUACAUAAUAAAUAAAUAAAAUCUUAAAAGAAAGAGUUUUAAUUCUUCUUGUUGUGCCCCCACCAUCCCCCACCGUGCGUGUAGGUGCAUUCUUCUUAGGGUGUGACUGGAGGUCAGAGGACAACUCUGUAGAGACAGGUCCCUCCUUCCACAUUUACACGGGUUCCAAGGAUCACACUCAGGUCUCCAGACAUGUGCAACAAGUGCCUUUAAACGGCUGGGCCCCCUCACUGGCCCAAAUGUCUUUUUCACUUUGGAGACAAGAUCUUACUCUGAGGCCCAGGUUGACCUCAAAUUGACAAUCCUCCUGCCUCAGUGGCCCAAAUGUUGGGAUUAUGACUAUCGGCUACUACUUGAGGGGGUCUGUUCUUUCCUCCCACCCUGUGGGUCCCCGGUUAGACCUCAGCUCAUCAUUGUGGCAGCAGGGGAUUUAGCCUGCUGAGCCAUCUCACUGGCCUCAAGGAUACUUUCCCUAGGACCCUGCAAGGACGCUGGUGGCAGAAUCUGGGUAGAGUUCAGGCUUCCAGCUACUUGGUUCAAAAACAUAGCACGGCUUCAGCAAAGACCAUGAGCACCCACAAACUAAAUGCCUCUACCCAACUUUCCCUUCCAGCCAAGAAGGGUGUCAGGGUGUCCCCAUGGCUUGGGGACACAGAGCUUCUUAGACAGAGUAGGAGCCGUAGCAAGACUCAUGUGUGUUCAGAGACCCUGUGGCCACUUCACAGAAAGCAUGUCCCCCCGUGGGCAUCGGGUUCCAGGAGUUCCUGUUACCAUGCCCCGCUGUGGGCACUGGCACAGGGGCCUGCUGGGUGGGCGCAGAGGGUGCCUCUCCCCAUGAAGUUGCAGAGCCCUACUUGAUCCAAGACGGCACCCUGAAUGCAGCAGUCGUUCAUUAGGGCCCUGCAUUCAUUCAUUUCGUUUUCUUUUUUUUUAACCCCAAUUUAUUUAUUUAUUUAUUAUGUGCAUUGGUGUUUUACUUGCACAUAUGUCUGUGUGGAGGCAUGAGACCCUCUGCAGUAGGAUUACAGGCAGCUGUAGGCUGCCAUGUGGGUGCUGGGAAUUGUACCCAGGUCCUCUGGAAGAACAGUUAGUUCUCCUAACCGCUGGACGGACCAUCUCUUCAGCCCCAACACUCAUUCAUUUUCAUGUCAUCCCGUUUCUUCCUCCUUGCAGGCCCCCGAGGAAGCAGGAUGAGAUGAUGGAGUUAGAAAUUCAACGUGUUCAUCGGAGGUGAUUUCUGUGAAGGAUGCCGGUGGGAGAGAUCAGGCGGAGAGAGCUCUGGUCCCUGGUUGAGACUUGAUGAUGUCACAGGCAAGUUCCAGUGGGGCCCGAAGCCAAAGUGACUCACAAGAUGAGGCCGUCCCUGGGCCCUUGCCUUGCUUCACCACCGGCUGAGGGGUGCUCCGGAAGAGCCUGGCCCAACAGGAAAGCUCCUUGGACUCGACAGUGCUGUUCAAAAGGGACACGUGCCCUUCAUGGAAGCCUCAUGACCAGGCUCAUCUAUGCAGAUGCCAGAGCCCAGGGCCCAGCUCCGCACACUGGCUCCAGAUUGAGUCAGGCUAGUAUGGCGGGGAUGUGGUCCUCAACACUUUGCUCAGGCCAAACCCCAGCAGUGCCUGACUCUCAGCUGCUGAGAUGCUGUCCCCUCUACCAGUCAUGACUCUAGGGGGGUGUUGUCCCUUUAUCCUCCAGGGAGACGGUGACCGGAAUUCAGGAUGCCCAUGUCCACACUGGGCCUGGACGAAAGCAGCCAGAACAACCAUGUCUGCUCUCUGCCUCCGUCUAUUUCCUGCUCUGCCCUUCCUCCCUCUCUCAGACAGCGUGUUACCUUGCAACCCAGGGUUGUCCUUCGCUCCGUGAUCCUCCUGACUCAGCCUCUAGUAUACCGGGAUUACAGUCAUCACAUCUGGGUCUCCACGGCUAUCACAGAACUCCUUUGCAGCGAGAAGCCUGCUGAUGUAGCAGCUCCAAUUUGAACAGUGGUUCAUAAAAAAAACCCACAGCCUUUCCGUGUGUUCCCUUCUCUCGUGGACGCCACAGGGUGUCCCUCCUCCUUCCCACACAGCUUGUGUCACCUGCCUCUGUGCCUUUGAGACAAGCUCAAGGGGUGAUUUGGUGGCUGGGAGUUCAACAACCUCUUCCUAGCGGUCAGUUCCGUUACCUCCCAGGCAAAGAUUCCAGUUUAGGUUUUAAGCUUGAAGAGCCAGGUGUGAUGGUCCCAGCACCCAGGAGGCUAAGAUGGGAAGAUGGAGAUGAAGAUGAGCCAGAACCCAGAGGACAGAGGUGCUAAUGUGGCCUACAAAUGGAAAGUGAAAGAAGCCGGGGUAGGCAUGCUGACUCAGCUGGCAACCUAAGGAUGGAGCCCACGCAGUCUCCACAGUCUCUGGGACAAACACGAUGGAAGGAGAGAAGUGACUCCCUCAGGUUGUCCUUAGACCUCCACAUGUAUGCAGUGGCAUGACCCCCACCCUCUCCCUGUGUCCCCCACACCAAUUACUUAAUUAAAGGGUUUUUUGUUUGUUUGUUUGUUUUUGUUUUUCGAGACAGGGUUUCUCUGUGGCUUUGGAGGCUGUCCUGGAACUCGCUCUUGUAGACCAGGCUGGUCUCGAACUCACAGAGAUCUGCCAGCCUCUGCCUCCCGAGUGCUGGGAUUAAAGGCGUACACCACCAACGCCCGGCAAGGUUUUUUUUUUUUUUUUAAGCCAGUGUAUCUGAUAGGCUUUGCUUACCACCCCAGGCUGGUUUUAGUGUCCCCUCGCCCUUUCCAGCAAAGAGGCCACUCUCUUGCCAUUACACCUCUCAAUGCUCAGAGGUCAGGGCCAGUGUCACUACCUCUGUCCCCUCCCUUGUCCCAGUGUCACUACCACUGAUCCCUGUACUCAACGUAGGCAAAGAGCAGCCAGACCGCUCAAGGGUCCCCCAGCACCUCGAGGUGGCUUGCCCACUGGACUCAAGUACAAUCUGUGCGGCCGCUCUCCCCCUACUCCCCAGCACCCACGGGGAGGGCAGCCGGCAUCGCUGAGUCUCAACCUGGGCUGUGUAUUUUUCAUUAUAUGUGAUUUUAAAUUUACUCUUUGAGAAUGUCAUACAUGCAUACAAUGAAUUUCAAUCAUAUGUAUCCCCUUCCCCUCCUCUAACUCUUCCCAGACUCUCCCAUCUCCCUCCCAAUUUCAUAUCCUAUUUUUUAAAUAACUCACUGAAUCCAAUUAGUGCUGUAUAUAUCUGAAAUGUCUGGAGCUACCCACUGGAACAUGGUCAGACUACCAGGGACCGCACCCGUAAAGAAAACGGGUUCUAUCUCCCCUGGCAAUCACUGCACACUUAAACAAAUUGUAAUGCCAUAAACUCAUUCUCAAGAUUUGUCUGGCACCAGGC
ensembl:lncRNA